rnacentral:lncRNA from 1 species
GUGAGAGUAGUCGUCGAGGUGGUGGUAAUGACGAGUUAGAGGAUGGAGAGGUUGGGGAAGAUGGUGAAAUCAGACUUUAAUCGCUGAGAAGUGGUUAAUAACAUUUCUUUCUUCAUCUGAAACCUUUUCUACUUCUUUUAGAGACUUUUAUUCCUAAUGGUUCAUCUUUACACACUCUACUACUCUAGUGAUAUUUUUCGUUUGCGUUUCCUUAAUAAUCGGAUAUAAUCUAUUUACUUUAUUUUUUGUUUUUUAAACACUGAGUUUAAUAUUUAGCUAUCACGGCAAAUAAGACUCAAAGUUGAAAACAACAUUCAAACCCAUACCAGUAGGUAGGCAAUGGAGAUAACAAGAAAAAAGCCAAGUGACAUGAAUAUCGGAACACAUGAUGAGUUGAGGACCUCAGGUGAUGUGGUGCCAAAAAAACAGCAGCGUGAGGGUCCCUAUGCCUCUUCUGCAAUCGGAUGAUGGAGCCAUCUGGGUCCAUUCCGUGCAAUGCAGGAGUGGUAUCUAUGAUCAGUGGUUACACUAUGCAAAUCUUCACAUUAAUACUGGUACCACGUAGUCUAGGCUCCAAACUUGCAAUUUUUACAGCUUUGUAACAAUGUCAUUUGAAAGAUGCGACAAAUCGGAGAACGAACCAGACGCUGCAAGCAUUCUCGAGCAAGAAGGAACAAUGAUUGAAAGAUAAGCAUUCUCGAGCAAGAAGGAACGAUAAUCCGAAGAUGAUGUUGUGGAGUCUCAAUGAUUGAACACGUCAACCACUGAAAAGGUGGCCCACAGUUUAAACUCUUCUGGGCUCUUCCCAGAGAAAUAUGCAUAAGGGUCUUCUCUUUGCAAUCACGUAAAAUCCAUGAUGCUUCACAAUUCACAUAACCAAUUGAUCCACGAUGAGCUAACUAGUUGGUGGUGCAUGCCAUCAUCUUUCGUGUGCUAGCACUUCAUUUGCAACAUUGAGAUUAGCCUGAUGAGGGAAGUUGAUAUUAAACCAGAUCGUUGCAUCCUCCUCUGAGAAUUGCAGCAUGGGCUAAUUUGAUCUUCUAAAGAAUCAAUGAGUUUCUAGCCUUCCAGAUGUAUCAUAGGAUCCUCGGGAAAUUGUAUGUAAGAAAAAUACAGUUUGUGGAAAGUCCCAAGGAUGGUAGUGGUCGUUUGUCAGCCAUCCAAAUCGUAGGUGCCAAUUGACAUAAAAACAAUGUAUGACAUAGUUUCUCAGCCAACUCCACACAACUUGCAUGUCGGAUUCACUUGGAUGCCUCUUGAUACAACUUGUUUGAGACCGCCAACACUCCACACAAAGUGUCAAAUUUUUAGGAAAGUCUGUAGUAAUUAAAUACUACUCGACAACUUUCUUUCAGAAAGAGAAACUAUUUGUAACGGCCGCCUACGGCUAAUGGACCAUCCACGCCCACUCACUCGGUCUCAGCUCAUAUAUAAUGACUUGGUUGAGAGGAUGAAGGAAAAAGAAGAAAAAGAAGCCAGAAAGCUUCAGCGUUUGGCUGAAGAGUUUACCAAUCUUUUGCGCACUUUCAAGGUAUAUCUUACCCAUGGUGACUGACUUUUCUCUGAAUUCUCUAGGACGUUUAAACAUAAAUUUAUUUCUGUUAGGAAAUAAACGCAGCUUCAAAUUGGGAAGAUGUCAAACAACUAGUUGAAGAAAGUCAAGAGUACAGGUAAAUUGUUUCUUGCUUUAGAACAAGAAUCUUCAUAGCUCUUAACAAACACCUUGAAUAAGAGAAUAAAAAGGCUCCAUUUCGGAUUUCUUCAGAUCGAUUGGAGAUGGUAAUGUUAGCAGAGGGCUUUUUGAGGAAUACAUAACGAGUUUACAGGAAAAAGCAAAGGAGAAGGAGCGUAAGCGUGAUGAGGAAAAGGUAAUGGAAACUCUUUAUGAUCUUUUUUGUUUUUAUGUUGAAAACAGGUGUCUAAGAUUUUUACUGUUGUGGAAGUUGCAGAGUAGGAAAGAGAAGGAUAAGGAGGAGAAAGAGAAGCGGAAGGAGAGAAGGGAAAAGGAAAGAGAACGCGAAAAAGAGAGGAGUAGCAAAAGGGAGGAAUCGGAGGGUGAUGUAGAUGUGAGUGAAGGUCAGAAAGAGGAGAAACGAAAAGGAAAAGACCGAGACAGAAAACAUAGGAGACGCCAUCACAAUUCUGAUGAUGAUGUCAGUUCUGAUAGGGAUGACAGAGAGGAGUCGAAGAAGUGGUCAUCAUCCCGUAAACAUGAUCGCAAAAAAUCAAGAAAGGUACUUCCUCUCAACCUCAGUUCUGACUCAGCUAAGCUUCAAAUUUGACAAGAUGUUCAAAAUUUAAGAGAGAUGAUUUUCCUGGCAGCACGCAAACACGCCAGAAUCAGACAGUGAAAAUCGGCAUAAAAGACAGAAGAAAGAGCAGCGUGAGAGUAGUCGUCGAGGUGGUGGUAAUGACGAGUUAGAGGAUGGAGAGGUUGGGGAAGAUGGUGAAAUCAGACUUUAAUCGCUGAGAAGUGGUUAAUAACAUUUCUUUCUUCAUCUGAAACCUUUUCUACUUCUUUUAGAGACUUUUAUUCCUAAUGGUUCAUCUUUACACACUCUACUACUCUAGUGAUAUUUUUCGUUUGCGUUUCCUUAAUAAUCGGAUAUAAUCUAUU